AUCACAAUUGUAAAUAGCCAUGUCCCUGGAGCACAUUAUUCUGAAAUCACUCGGUGAAGAAUACAGGAGUUUGCUUAUCUGGCUGCAUUGAACGCAGCAAUCGAAAGCAGUACGUACAUUCUGCUUGGGCGGCAAUAAAGGGAAGAAGAUUGUCUGCCAUCCUGUGGAAUAGAUACCGAACUUCCUAUUACGAGUUCAGGAGGAAAUGCAGCGCAAGGCCAAAUUAAUCAGGAAUAAAAUGAGGCCCGCAAUCUCCCUUUCGACAUCCACAUGACAAAUGAGGUGCUCUACGUCUGGUGUCGAAGAAUUGUUGCUGAAAUACUCAGAGAUAAAGUUUGGCAUUGUGGCCCAAAUGGCGGUUGGGAAGAAGGUUCCAGAAGGUUCUCUUUGGGUAUAUAGGAGACGCAUCUCC